rnacentral:rRNA from 1 species
AUACGGAGGAUCCGAGCGUUAUCCGGAUUUAUUGGGUUUAAAGGGUGCGCAGGCGGCCAUUUAAGUCAGCGGUUAAAUCGUGGGGCUCAACCCCAUUCUGCCGUUGAUACUGGGUGGCUUGAUUGCGGUCGAGGUUGGCGGAAUUCGUUGUGUAGCGGUGAAAUGCAUAGAUAUGACGAAGAACACCGAUUGCGUAGGCAGCUGACCAGACCGCAAAUGACGCUCAUGCACGAAAGUGCGUGGAUCGAACAGGAUUAGAUACCCUGGUAGUCCGCACAGUAAACGAUGAAUACUUGUUUUCGGCGAUAUAAUGUCGGAGGCAAAGCGAAAGCGAUAAGUAUUCCACCUGGGGAGUACGCCGGCAACGGUGAAACUCAAAGGAAUUGACGGGG